AGGAGAUCAGAGAGAAAGUCAAAUGCCUGCUUCAGGAUGCUGACGAACUGUACAAGCAAUCGUGUUUCCAUAGCGACGGUAUCACGCAAUGGGCGACAGCAGUCGACAAAAGAUUUAAGGAUUUCACGAGUCGAAUGACGAAGUACCUGAAUCAACUCGAGGCAAAGUUGGGAUUCCCGAUUACAAAGUACAGCGAGGUAAGGAGACGAAUCGCACCAUGUACCGUAUUUUUUUACCUUU
rnacentral:lncRNA from 1 species